UACGGAGAGUGCAAACGUUGUUCGGAUUCACUGGGCGUAAAGGGCACGUAGGCGGCCAGGCAAAUCGAUCGUGGAAUGCCGACGCUUACCGUCGGCGCGGCGGUCGAAAAUACCUGGCUUGAGGAUGUGAGGGGUCGCUGGAACUCCUGGUGGAGCGGUGAAAUGCGUAGAUAUCAGGAGGAACGCCGGAGGCGAAAGCGAGCGACUGGCGCAUUCCUGACGCUGAGGUGCGAAAGCUGGGGGAGCAAACAGG
rnacentral:rRNA from 1 species